rnacentral:rRNA from 1 species
UACAGAGACUGCAAGCGUUAUUCGGAUUCACUGGGCGUAAAGGGUGCGCAGGCGGCCAUGUGUGUUGGGCGUGAAAGCCCGGGGCUUAACCCCGGAAUUGCACCCAAAACUACAUGGCUAGAGCAUUGGAGAGGGUAGCAGAAUUCAUGGUGUAGCAGUGAAAUGCGCAGAUAUCAGGAAGAACACCCGUGGCGAAGGCGGCUCUCUGGGACGGUACUGACGCUGAGACGCGAAAGCGUGGGGAGCGAACAGG